rnacentral:rRNA from 1 species
GAUGAACGCUGGCGGCGUGCCUAAUACAUGCAAGUCGAGCGAACAGAUGAGGAGCUUGCUCCUCUGACGUUAGCGGCGGACGGGUGAGUAACACGUGGAUAACCUACCUAUAAGACUGGGAUAACUUCGGGAAACCGGAGCUAAUACCGGAUAAUAUAUUGAACCGCAUGGUUCAAUAGUGAAAGACGGUUUUGCUGUCACUUAUAGAUGGAUCCGCGCCGCAUUAGCUAGUUGGUAAGGUAACGGCUUACCAAGGCAACGAUGCGUAGCCGACCUGAGAGGGUGAUCCGCAACCGGGGAAAUGAGAAAAGGACCCGCACCCUAAGGGAGGCAGCGGCAGGGAAUCUUCCGAAAGGGGCGAAAGCGAAAAGGAGAAACGCGGCGAGAGUGAAGACGGUCUAUGCAUCGUAAAACUUUUUUUUUGGGGAAAAACAAAGGUCUAAUAAACUAGGCAAGUAUGGGAGGACCCAAAUAAAAAAGCCGCGCUAACCUCGUG